GUGCUCAUUUUGGCAGCACAUAUACUAAAAUUGGAACGAUACAGAGAAGAUUAGCAUGGCCCCUGUGCAAGGAUGACAGGCAAAUUCAUGAAGCAUUCCAUAUUUUU
rnacentral:snRNA from 1 species